ACAUGCCUAUCAUUGCAGCACUUGGGAGGCAACGACAAGAAGAUCAAGAGUUCAAGACCAGCCUUGGCUACAUAUUGCAUUUGGGCUGAUUUGGGCUACCUGAAACUGACUCAGAAAGAAAACCAACAACAACAAACGAAGAACAGCCAGACUAAAGUAAUGGAGUAAAGAGGAUACCAAGCAGACAGCCUGAGACUGAUCCUUGGGACCUACGUGGUGUGGAAGGAGAGAACUGACUCCCAAGAGUUUAUCUUAGGCACUUCCUAUGCUUGCCAUAGCAUGUGCUUACCCUCCUAAAUAAAUAUGUACUGGUGACCUGCUUUGGCCAAGUCUCAAGUUAAUGAAUACUGCUGUACACUAAACAACAUGGAUACCCAGCUAGUGCCAUGAACCCAGUGCUGAUGUACAAAAACACAGGAUUUUCUGUCGAUUUUCAUCAUCCUUUUAGGUUGCUGCAGAUGCCAUCUGACAUAAUGAUGCUAAUCACAACACCUACCUGUCGAGAAGAGUAAUGACAAACAUGUGACAUCAGUGGCACCCUCCUUACUAAUCAAUGCCCUUCUGAUGCCAACAACCUUUCAGAAUUGCAGCAGGUAUUUCUACUCAACGAUUGUUUUUUCUCAGUGAACCCAGCAUCCUUCUCAACCUAGUUUGUAAGCAGUUAUGACAAUUAAUUCUUGAGAUGUUGCCCCAGUCUUAAUAGAUCAUGAGUUAGCUCAUGAAGUAUAUCCUAUGCACUAGCCCAGGCCAAUGGUUUUUAGUUUACAUAACUUUUUGUUUUUGUGCUUGUGAUAGUGAGGAUUAAACUCAGGGUCUUGCACGUUCAAACAAGCAUCUAUCAUUGACUUACAUCUCCAGAUUUCUUUCUACUUUUUUAUAAAAUUAGUUUUUUCUUCAAAAUUAAAAUACAAUUACAUUAUUUUCCCCUUCCCUUUUUUUUUGUUUCUUAAUUUGAUCAAAGUUGUAUUAAAAUAUCCAG